CAACGAAUCUUCCGCAAUGGGCGCAAGCCUGACGGAGCGACGCCGCGUGCAGGAUGAAGUCCCUCGGGAUGUAAACUGCUGUCAGGGGUUAGAAAGCAAGUGAUCAACCCCAAAGGAAGCCUCGGCUAACUCCGUGCCAGCAGCCGCGGUAAUACGGAGGAGGCGAGCGUUGUUCGGAAUCACUGGGCUUAAAGGGCGUGUAGGCGGGAUGACAGGUGUCGUGUGAAAUCCCCCGGCUCAACCGGGGAAUUGUUCGGCAAACCGGCAUUCUUGAGGCAGGUAGAGGCGGCUGGAACCUUUGGUGGAGAGGUGAAAUUCGUAGAUAUCAAAGGGAACGCCGGUGGCGAAAGCGGGCCGCUGGGCCUAGCCUGACGCUGAGACGCGAAAGCGUAGGGAGCGAACGGGAUUAGAUACCCCGGUAGUCUACGCCGUAAACGAUGCGCACUAGAUACGAGGGUCUCUGACGGCUCUCGUGUCGAAGCAAAAGUGGUAAGUGCGCCGCCU
rnacentral:rRNA from 1 species